rnacentral:rRNA from 1 species
GACGAACGCUGGCGGCGUGCUUAACACAUGCAAGUCGAACGAAGAGCGAUGGAAGCUUGCUUCUAUCAAUCUUAGUGGCGAACGGGUGAGUAACGCGUAAUCAACCUGCCCUUCAGAGGGGGACAACAGUUGGAAACGACUGCUAAUACCGCAUACGAUCCAAUCUCGGCAUCGGGACUGGAUGAAAGGUGGCCUCUAUUUAUAAGCUAUCACUGAAGGAGGGGAUUGCGUCUGAUUAGCUAGUUGGAGGGGUAACGGCCCACCAAGGCGAUGAUCAGUAGCCGGUCUGAGAGGAUGAACGGCCACAUUGGGACUGAGACACGGCCCAGACUCCUACGGGAGGCAGCAGUGGGGAAUCUUCCGCAAUAGACGAAAGUCUGACGGAGCAACGCCGCGUGAGUGAUGACGGCCUUCGGGUUGUAAAGCUCUGUUAAUCGGGACGAAUGGUUCUUGUGCGAAUAGUGCGAGGAUUUGACGGUACCGGAAUAGAAAGCCACGGCUAACUACGUG